rnacentral:rRNA from 1 species
GGUUUACCAGGGAAGUUGCUCUGUUUGCACAAGGUGCUCAAAGCGAAUCUUAUGGAUUAUGUAUGAUGUUCCAUGGUACUUACCUAAUGAUUCACGUCUUCGGACGUAUCAGAAUGUUAUGAAGGGCCCCUACGGGGAUUUAUGUAGUUUUAUACUAGGAGUGAAAUCCUCUGAUUAUUAACUGACGAACAAAGGGAAGGCGACUAUCCCAGAAUGUCUUUCCUAAGCAAGAACGAAGGUUGAAGGUUCGAAGGUGAUUAGAUACCGCCGUAGUUUCAACGUUAAACGAUGUUUCCCUAAUAGAUCGUUCCUCGUGAAUGUCUAACGAAAGAUGGUACAGGGAAACCACUUAAGUUGCCCUUUUCCUGGGGAAGUAUGGUUGCAAGACUGAAACUUAAAGGUAUUGACGGAAGAGCACCACCAGGAGUGGAGCCUGCGGCUUAAUUUGACUCAACACGGAGUAACUUACCCGGGCCAGAUAGUGCAAUGAUUGACUUGCUGAAUACCCUUCAAGAUUUGGUAAAUAGUGGUGCAUGGCCGUUUUUAGUUGGUGAAGUGAUUUGUCAGGUCUAUUCCGAGAACGAACGAGACUCUAUUCCAGUAAAGGCCUUAAUGAAUCAGUCUGAAUAGUGCUUCUUCGAGAGAUUGAUUG